rnacentral:rRNA from 1 species
CCUACGGGAGGCAGCAGUGGGGAAUUUUCCGCAAUGGGCGAAAGCCUGACGGAGCAACGCCGCGUGGGGGAUGAAGGCCUCUGGGCUGUAAACCCCUUUUCUCAAGGAAGAAGACCUGACGGUACUUGAGGAAUAAGCCACGGCUAAUUCCGUGCCAGCAGCCGCGGUAAUACGGGAGUGGCAAGCGUUAUCCGGAAUUAUUGGGCGUAAAGCGUCCGCAGGCGGCCUAUUAAGUCUGUCGUUAAAGCGUGGAGCUCAACCCCAUUUAAGCGAUGGAAACUGGAAGGCUAGAGUGUGGUAGGGGCAGAGGGAAUUCCCGGUGUAGCGGUGAAAUGCGUAGAUAUCGGGAAGAACACCAGUGGCGAAGGCGCUCUGCUGGGCCAUAACUGACGCUCAUGGACGAAAGCCAGGGGAGCGAAAGGGAUUAGAUACCCCUGUAGUCCUGGCCGUAAACGAUGAACACUAGGUGUCGGGGAAUCGACCCCGUCGGUGUCGUAGCUAACGCGUUAAGUGUUCCGCCGUGGGUAGGUACGCGACGCAGUAGUGAACGUACAAGAAGUAGUACGGCGUGAGACGCGCCGACGACGACGACGAGGGAGGAGG